GAUACCUGGGCGCCGCGCCGCGGACUGUGCGAUGUUUCUCUCGGACGCCCGUCCCGGGCCCCUCCUGCUCUUCCUGGGCACGGCCGUCCGAUACCAAGAAGGCCCUUCCAGAUAGACAUGUCUGAGCUCGAGGGCAGCUGUAGUGAGCCCUGGUGGCCCGGAAGGCUUUAUGGGGUUUUCACAUCGGUUCCGUCCCUUCAUCCUCACACCGCCACGGCCCACGUCUUCUGCCCGGCGAUUAACUGAUGGCAUUCUUUAAGACUUGAUCCUGGGUCCUCCUCAUGCCACACUCCCUCCUUCGGCAAAUCUCAUCCACACUUGGCUUGAAUUACCACUCAUCUAAACGUGGUUCAUUAAUUUAUGUUUCCUACCAGCUCUAGAUCCACAUGUUCAAAUAUCACUCAUGUGACAUCUAUUGGAUGUCUCAAAGGUACCUCAAGGGUUUCCCUGGUGGCACAGUGGUUGAGAGUCCGCCUGCCGAUGCAGGGGACACGGGUUCGUGCCCCGGUCCGGGAAGAUCCCACAUGCCGCGGAGCGGCUGGGCCCGUGAGCCAUGGCCAUUGAGCCUGGGCGUCCCGAGCCUGUGCUCCGCAACGGGAGGGGCCACAACAGUGAGAGGCCCGCGUACAGCAAAAAAAAAAAAACAAAAAAAAAAGUACCUCAAACUCAACAUGUCCCAACCAAAAUCAUUUUCUCGACUCCUCACCGUAUCCCCUUCGAUAUCUCCUUCCAGGAUUGACACCUCCCUGUGUCCCUACCCCAGAAUCCCUCUUGGGAAGAUAGCCUCCAAGGUGGCUUCCACAAUCCCCGUCUCCUCAUAUUCAGCUCUUGUGUGGUCACCUUCUUUUGAACGUGGCUGGUGUGACUUGCUCUGGUCAAUAGAGUCCAGCAAAAAUGUCAGGAGGUAUGUGGUUACGUGGAUGUAAUUCCUUCACACAGGUUAGUGACACCCAUCCUGCUAGUGUGACCCAGCAGGAUCCUAUGAGGCCUUCUCAGAACAGACUCCCACCCAUGUCCUCCACCUGCCUUUUGUCUGUAGAAAAACUUUAGUCAAAGAAGUAAUUUAAUCAGAGAAGUGAGAAAAUGCAGAAAGAAAGGAAAACAGUCAAACAGGACAAAAUAAUAAUACUUUAGUCAUUAAACAAAGUCAAGGACAUUUAGUUCUUCCUCAAGGACUCUAGAUAAUAUUCUGAACCACAUCCUUUGAGCUGUUUUGCAGAUACUGAAACCCACACCAAGUGGAAGAAGUUAACUGUAUGCUGCCCACAAGCACGUAGACCCCAAACCAGUUGGAACCAGAAGGUUGAUGAUGCUGAUUCCCAAUUACCUCACCACCAACCAAUCAGAAGAAUGUCCAUGAGCUGACCACGCCCUGUUCCUUGAACUCCGUAAGACUCCUCACUCCCCCCUCCAGGGAGGGACACACAGUCUUGAGGGAAGUAGCCCGCUGUGGCCCCCUUCGCCUGGCAAAGCAAUAAAGCUAUUUCUUUCUAUUUCACCCAAAA